UUUUCUUUUUCUUCCUUUUUGUAAUAGCAGCUCUAUUACAAAAUCCAACAUGAGUGUUUUCCAUGAUCCAAUUCCCUGUUUACCACCACCAUGGUUUUUGAAUUUUGAUUUGUUUUUUAAUGUUUUGUUUAUAAACUUCUCCACCAUUAUAAAGCAUUACAUCUUUUUAGGUGGAUUAUUAUGAAGAUUAUUUUAAUGAAUUCAUGUGAUGUACCUUUCUCACAUUUUCAUUGUUCAUGUGCACAGAAAUUUCUUCCUAUUUCAUCAGUUCUUAUAGGGUAUGUUCAAGUCAGUUUGAGUGGUAGUUUAUAAACCUUUCUUUUUAUCAAUUGUGGCACUCCUGUGGGUAGAAACUAUACCUUGCCUAGGAUUGGUGGUUCACAACGGACUGAUGCUUUUAUGACACAGUUAUGAUUUGAAAGCAUUUCUCUGGGUAUUAACUUUAACUCCACCCACUUUAUCUCCUUGUAAUGCUCAAUGUGGCAGCUCAUCUUCAUCCCCAGGUUGAAAUUUCCUGUUUCCAAGGCAUCAGGAGUGUACUCCGCAAAGAAUAUUGGAUUUUUGAUAAGUGUGGGCAUCACAUAAGGCUCAACACCAGACAAAGACAGCUUUGCAGAGCAAAUGCUCACUUCUUUGGCAGGAUCUGCUCAUUUUACUUCUUUGGGACUUUCAAAGAACAAGUGCCAUCUGUGUGAGAUAAAAUGCUGUUGAAGGAUUGAAGAGCCUUAUUCAUAAUGGUUAUAUCUUAAUGGUCAUGCCAAAUUGAUGUGUUCCAAAAUUUAUCCAGGAUUAAAACAUCCUGAUAGACUGAGGCUGCUGCUGUGUCUCCAGAUUUUUCUUCAUGUGGGUAUCACUUUUGAUAUGCCUACAGGAACCAUGUCAUUACCAGGAGAGUGAGAAUGUUUGUGAGAACCUGGGGGAUACAAGAGCAGUGAGUAGCAGUUGGAGCAUCAACUCUUUAGACAGAGGCAGCAGGGAGUGGAAGCUGAGAGAAAACAGAAGGACCCAGGAGAGUGAUGGGUCAGCCACAGGGAUGACAACCCUAAAGAACACUUUAGGAGACGAAGGUGGAAUUUGGCUCUGAAUAAGCUGCAUGUCCUGAAUUCAAUGCUGAGGCCACCAUAAUUUUGUAAAAAGAACGGGAUGAGCACUGGAUGUUAUACUAGAUGUUAGCAGAUCGAACUCCAAUAAAAAAAUAUACAAAAAAAAUUUUUCAAGCCGUCAUAUCAUCAUUCAUUCAGCAUAUAUAUAAUAUCUGUGUAUUGUAUCACUUGGGUCUGUUGUAAACAUGAAAGAUACACUGGUGAAAGCAGAAUAAUUUUUAAAAUAUCUUCUUUCAUGGAAUUUGCAUUUUUCCUGUGAAAUUGGUCUGUGAUGGAACAGGUAUCAUAUUCAUCAUGACCAAUAUCAUGCACGCAAAAUACUUAGUAAAGUGCAAAAGACGUCAACGUUAAUUUCUAAAUAAAUGGAUAUUUAUGAUAUUUUUGGAGAAUAUGUGUUUUUGGGAUGUAUCAGAAAGCUAGAAGCUCAAAAGCCACCUGCUAGAAGUUACCAAGUAAUAUUUUUAAAAAUGUUUUAAAAUUGAAGUUAAAGUUUACAUGCAGUGAAAUGUAAAACUUGCAUUUGUUAAGAUGAGUUUGGGCACAUGUAUAUACCAUACAACUAAUCACCAAACCAGAAUAUAGAAAAUUUCCAUUACCAAAGAGUUUUCUUAUAACCCCUCCCUAUUAAACUCUUUUCUUCAUAGGUGAUCUAUUUUUUUUUAUUUCUAACCUCUAAAUUAAUCUAGCCUGUGUCUUAACCUCAUAAAAAUGUCAUGAUAGAGUAUGUACUCUUUUGUGUUAUUAAGACCCAUCCAUUCUACUGAUGUAUCCAUUGUUCACUGCUAUAUAUACUAUUGUAUUAAAUUUUAUGAAUAUAUUGUAAUUUAUCCAUUAUCCUGUUAUUAACAGGAUAAUGAUAAAGUUCUCUAAAAACCCUUGUACAAGUUAUUUUGUGGACUUGCUUUUCAUUUCUCUUUGCUAAUAUCAGCUACAACACGGUGUAGGUGAAUGGUUUACUUUAUAAAAAACUAUUUUUCCAAAAUGCCUAAGAAUUUUAUAGACCACCAGUAUAUUAUGGGGAGUUUAGGUCUAUAAUUUUGUUGGCUGUCACUCAUUUUAAUUUUAGACAUUCUGGUAGAGCUAAAUCAUAUCUUGUUCUAGUUUCAAUUUGUAUCUCCCUAGUGAGUGAUACAGGUUUUUAUUGGACACAUGUGAAGAUUUUGCCAUUUUCCACCUUGUUUGACGUUUCUUUAUGGAUUUAGAUAUAAUUCCUUUGUCAGGUGCAUACCAAAUAUUUUCUCCUAGGCUGUGGCUUGUAUUUGCAAAGAUGUGAAGUUAUUUUUCCUAUGUUUCUUUUUAGAAACUAUGAUUUUAAAAGCCUUACAUUACAUAAAAUUCAUUUCAAAAUAAUAUUUGUAUAGGACAUAAGAUUUUUAUAUUUCCAAUGAAUAAAUAAAUAAAUCUUAAAAAAAGAAAAAAGAAAUCAAGCAGUAUAUGUCAUCCAAACUUAUGCUUGCUUUUAGUUUUGUUCUGAUUGUUCUAGGUUUCUAGGUCUUCUCAAUUCUGCAGUAAUUUGACAAUAGGUUAGUUAAUUAGUAAUAAAUUAGAUGUUGGGAUUUUUAUAAGGGUUGCUUUGAAUUUACAGAAUACUUUGAGGAGAACAAAUAUUUAAAAAUACUGAAACUUCCAAACUAUGAGCAUGAUUUAUCUUGGCAUAGAUUUUCUUUAAUUUCUCUCAGAAAUGUUACAGUUUUAAGUGCAAAGAUAUUGCAUAGUUUCCACUAAAUUUAUUAAGAUUCUAUGAUUUUAAUACAUUGAAAACAGUAUAGUGUUUUAAUUUAAUUUUCCAAUUUUUUGUUGCUAUCAUAUACAACUGCUUUUUAAAAUAUAUUGACCAUGUAUCCUAUGAAUUUUUAAAACAAUAUUUAUCAUAUUUUUUGUACAUUUCAGGAUUUCAAGAAAUCCUUUUCACAUAUCUAGUCAUGCCACGUGUGAACUAAUAAAAUAUUUUACACUUUACUUUUCAGUCAUUUUCUCCUAAUUUUCUUGUCUGAUUGCACUAGCAAACUUCCACUACAGUAUUUAAUAAAGUAAUGAGAGCUCACAUACAUGUCUUCUUCCAAAUCUUAGAUGGAGAUAAUAGUUUGUCAUUAAGUAUGAUAUUACUUGUAAGUUUUCAGAAAUAUGCUUUAUUAAACUGAAGAAUUUUUCAUCUACGCUCAUUUUAUUGUGAGUUAUUAACAUGACGGGUGUUAAAGAUUGUUGAAUGAUGUAUUCAUAUGCUAUUACUCCUUUAUUAAUGCUGUGAUUUAGAUCAAUUGCUCUUUAAAUGUUAAACCAAUCUUAUAUUCCAUGGAUAAGAUCCAACUGGUCAUGGUGAAUGACACUUUUAUUUAUUACUAGAUUCAAUUUGCUAACAUUUUCUUAAAGACUUUUUUAUCUUUGCUUUUGUUUCACUGAAUUUCUAGGUAUACAGGUUGAUGUAUUUCACAAAACUCAAAAUAUUUUUAGCCAUUAUUUCUUUGAAAAUUUUCUGCCCUGUUUUUCUUUUCCUUUUAGAACCACACUAAGUUAAAUUACUUGUCAUCUUCCGAUGUCACUGAAUCUCCAUUUAACUUAAAAAAAAUUCUGGAAAAAAAUAAAAAUAAAAAAUAAAAAUAAAUAAAAAAUAAAAAUUCUGAGUCUUCAAUUUAGAAAAUUCCAAUGAGUGACUCUGGUCUUUCUUCCUUUUAUUGGAAGGACACUUAUCCUCUCAUCUGCACCUAUUUACUUCCCAGAGGCUCCACCCUCAAAUACUAUCACACAGGUAGUGUACUCUAAAUACAGCAAAUCACUUAAUUCUCACAAUUCUACAAUAAUAUUAUGUAACAUGUCAGAUAAAAGGUGAUAAAAUUAACUUAUGUCCAGUUUUAGAAAAAAAGGUAAGGAUAAAAAUGUCAAUUUUUGUCCCUCUAGGAAUGAAAAAACAAUGAACAUUUAUAGCUCUUCAAAUUCACUUAGCAAAGGUUUAAAAAUAGCAUUUUUAUAAAAUACAAGAAAACAUAUAUGGUAAGAAUCAUGUUUUUCAGGUUAAUAAAUGAUAUUCUCAAUUGAUACUUUAAAAAAAAUGAACUACCAAAAAUCAAAUCAAUGAUGAAAUUCAUUCUGGGCUUUUCCUAUAAAUCUUAUAAUUGACCAAGAUGAUCAUAACGUCUCCAUCAGCUUGACUAAACUUUUAGAAAGACUGCUUUCUGCCUUUAGGGCCCUGACCUCCCUCUCUCUCCCACCUUUAUAGAAUUCAGAUAGCCUAAUUGCAGAGAUCCUUUUUUUUUCUUAGAGAAUUUAAUCAGAAAAAUUAUAAUAGUAAAUCCUUUCUCUGCCUCUUUGAAAUAUAAACCUUUUUAAAAAGGUUCUUGCCAAGUUUACAACCCAGGUUUGUCUUGCUCAGGGACUGAGAGGCAUCCCUUUGAAAUGGAAACAUCAAGGAGACUGUCUUUCAUCUCCCAGUCACCAGAAAGGUAGGAGCCUAAUGAACUUCAGUUGGUCAGUGUCUGAAUCCAAAUGUAAAAUUACCUUCUGUUAUGAAGUUAUGAGGCAGUUUACCUUUUUUCUUGGAUAGGGCCAAUUAGCAAACACAGAUAGUCUUUAUCCCCUGCACCACAGCUCUUAAAAAAAAAAAAAAAAAAAA
rnacentral:lncRNA from 1 species